rnacentral:lncRNA from 1 species
CUAUCUAUGAUAAGUUUAUUUACAUAUAUUAAAACAGUUUCCUGGCACCAAGCUACUAAUAUUUGAUCUUUUUAGUUACUCUAAGCGGCUAACACUGUAAAACAGAUAUCAACAACCUCCAACAUUCACGGCUAGCACUACGUUCAUAGCGACACCAUAGAUUAAAAAAUUUCUUCCGUAUCAAUACUUUGAACUGAAAUCAAUGAU